UCCAGCCUGGGCAACAAGAGCAAGACUACAUCUCAACUAGUCAACAAAAUCAUGACUAGUCCAGGGUGCUGCAGGCUCUCUGAUGUGUUGGUGGGGAUAGGUAGAUGGGAGACGAGGUCAGAAGGUGGUGGUGGCCAGACGGUGCAGACUGUAUUCUACUGGGAGCAGGUGCUGCGCUGUAAGCCUCUGGGAGCUGGAGGUUUUUAAGCAGGAGGUUACAUAAUCAGACAUACUUUAGAAAGACCUUUUGGAAUGAGGGCAGAUUUGGGUUAUCGGGUGUCAGAUGCCUCUGGAGCCUUGUGCCACACCCCCUCACCUCACUCGGGGCAGUGAGCACUUUCCUGUGGCUUGGAUGCACCUGGCACUAAAGCUUUUUUCCCAAGAGUACACCUCACACCUUCUGCACCCUGCUGUAGGUAUUCUCCAGAGCCACUGACUCCAGGUAGGUUGUGCCCAGCUCAGAACCACCCAGCUCCAAAAUGCAGGAGAUUUAACCCUUUCAGGGGAUUCCCUCACACAGGGAGGGAUGGAGCCAGUGGCCACACGCUUCUCCUGGUCCAUUCAGAGAAGCAACCUGCAUGUGCCCAAGUGGUGGCACCGAGCCCCAGUUGCCUACAGAGGUGAUCUCAGUAAUUCAUGUUUAUGUUGGUUUUGCUCCUCCCAUUAUUCAUUGGGCUCCUUCAUUCCUGCCUCUUUGAGUAGUUUCCAGGUCGGCUACCUGCUCACAGGUUCUAGCAAAGCUCUGCUUUAGGGAAAGGAGGAGAGCGGGGAUCCAGCAUGAGACAACAGGUUCCAAUGAUGAAGCUUUUGCAAUUGCUCAGGCAGUGAUAAAACAGCAAACAUUGCAUGCCGGGAUGUCAAGUAGGGGAAGGAGUAGGGACAGUUGUAGUGGGGAGAAUCAAAAGGUCUUGAGGAACAGUUCAACGUGAGGGUGCAGCAGAAAUAGGCAUUUCUGAUAUCUCUUGGAUUGCCGGCUGGGACCACAGUGUCAUUAACCAAAUUGAGAAAUAAAGCUGCAGGGGUCGGGUAUAUGUGUGGGAGAUUAUGGGUUCUGCUUUUCAUGGGAAGGAUUGAAGGCACUGUGGAAAGGCAGGGGGAGACGGUUAGUAGGAAGCUGGGUUCAGGAGUCUGUAGCUCAGAAAACAGGUCUGUUUCUGGCAGUUUUGUGACUCAUGAAAAUACAAAUAUUAUCUCAUGUCAGUUGCAUGGAACUCUUUUCCCAGACCUUUCGGGAAAGGGUCAGGUGCAAUGAGAGCGCCAUGGCAGUGCCCCUCUUUCCCCUGCCUCACUGUUUAGUUGCCUAUCACCAUCUUCUUCCCUUUUAAACAUUAGAACAUUUGCUCAUUACAAAUCAUAUUAUCAUGGCUUUAUUAUUUAAUUUUGUCUUCCUGAGAAAAGGGUUCAUGGUAAAGACAGAAAUGCCUCCAUCACCCCAGAGAGCAGGACACACAGGAAGGAGGGGCAGGUGUGCAGCUAACCUCUUACUCAUCCUUCAAGAUCAUCGUAGGCCAAUGAAUCCUUGAAUUUGUGGUCAACAAGAGGUCUUCUGUAGGCUGAAGUCAGGGCUGAGUGGUCUGCUUGUGAUCUCCUAGGAAUUCAAGUAAAUCCAUGUACUUCUUGAACAUAGCUCAUAGCAGAGGACUGAGCCGUGAAAAUGCUUACAUGCCUGCCUCCUCUGACACAUUAUAAGCUCCCUGAGGAUGGGGACCAAGGCUUAUUUCAUCGUUGUAUCCUCAGCAUCUGACCAAUAGCAGGCACUAAGUCAUUACUGAAAAGAACUGAGCAUGACACCCAAGGGAACAGAUGAGGUGGAGGUAGGACAAGGAAGACUGAGGAGUCUCCAUGGAACCUUCCAGGGAGAGACAGUCAAUAAACUCUCAUCAGUCGAAGUGAUUUCUAUUGUACAGUGCAAACCUAUGUGUGCCGUGAAAAACAGUAAGGGCAAUAGGGCUUAGGAGGAGGGGAAGGCUGUGGGUGCCUGGGGUGGCAAUGGGGAGCCUCACUAAGGAGGCAAAGAUGGAACGAUGAGGGUCAGCCAUCAGAUGGAAGGCUCUAGAGCAGAUGCUGCCAGCUAGGCGAGGACCAGGUGGGCCGAGCAGACACUGGCUUCAGCGUGCCCUCUCCUGCCCACCGUUCCCAUCAAUUUCAGCACUACUGCAGAAAGAGACUUUUAAACAGCAAACGUCAAGCGUACACUUCACGAGGACAGGGACCUUCAUGUGUGGGAUGUAACUCAACACCCGAGGGCAUAGUGGACGCUCAAUGAAGAGCUGUUGAACAAAUGAAGGGAUACAGAAAGUCAAGAGGGGAAAGGUUUGGAAAGCGGCGGAUGUGUCGUGCGAAAUGCAGCACGUGGUGAAAGACAAUAAGCACCCGAAGAACCUUGGUCUUUGUUCUUAUUUAUUUAUCUGUUUUUAUCAUCUCCUAUUUAUUUAUGGUCAAAGGCUGACCUAUAGAGUGUUCAGUUGUUCUCCACAGUGGUUUUACUAGUGUGCUUGGAAAAUAGGAAUGAGCUAUUUAGAGGAUUCUCUUACGGUCCUAUUCCGGAGUUUAACUGCAGCCAGUGAAAACAUCCUCGCUCGGUGGUGUAGCGUCACAUCCACAAUCAAAUCAGUAUUUCACUCUUAGAAUAUGGACUGCUUCUGUCUAUAUCUUCACAGGUGUAAGAUUUAUGUUUAACAUUGGCAUGAGAAUAAGUGAAAGUCAGGUAGUCAAAUAUCCUUUUGUAAAUAGGAAUAGGGUAAAAACCCUUUAAUAUAGGAUUGUAAUACUUGGCAUUCAAUUUAUAAUUUUUGUAGCAUUCAAUAUAUGGACUCAAUUUAUAAUUUAAUGCAUAAUUUAGUUUUAUAAUUUUAUAAGACUAUAUACUUAUAAUUAAAUUUACAAUUUAUAAUUUU